UGUGGAGGAGAGCUAUAAAAGUUAGUGAGUAAGAGUCCUUCCAACAGAACGAGGACCAGGAGCUACUACUACUACUACUACUACUACUACUACUACUACAGAUAACUGUUCAGGUUCAGUCUGGUGUUCAGCAGUCAGAAUGAUGACUCCCGCUCUCCUCUCUGUGGCCUUGCUGCUGUUGCUUCUUCCUGGGGUUCCAUCUGCAGAUCCCACUCUAUAUCCCAUCAGUGUCCUGGUGAAAAACUCUGUAAACCACAGUCCCAAUAAGACCUACAGCACUUCUGUGGUUUACAGAGGAAUCUUGCGUGGGGAGACCG